AGUCGAGCGGUAAGGCCUUUCGGGGUACACGAGCGGCGAACGGGUGAGUAACACGUGGGUGAUCUGCCCUGCACUUCGGGAUAAGCCUGGGAAACUGGGUCUAAUACCGGAUAUGACCUCCUAUCGCAUGGUGGGUGGUGGAAAGAUUUAUCGGUGCAGGAUGGGCCCGCGGCCUAUCAGCUUGUUGGUGGGGUAAUGGCCUACCAAGGCGACGACGGGUAGCCGACCUGAGAGGGUGACCGGCCACACUGGGACUGAGACACGGCCCAGACUCCUACGGGAGGCAGCAGUGGGGAAUAUUGCACAAUGGGCGAAAGCCUGAUGCAGCGACGCCGCGUGAGGGAUGACGGCCUUCGGGUUGUAAACCUCUUUCAGCAGGGACGAAGCGCAAGUGACGGUACCUGCAGAAGAAGCACCGGCUAACUACGUGCCAGCAGCCGCGGUAAUACGUAGGGUGCAAGCGUUGUCCGGAAUUACUGGGCGUAAAGAGUUCGUAGGCGGUUUGUCGCGUCGUUUGUGAAAACCAGCAGCUCAACUGCUGGCUUGCAGGCGAUACGGGCAGACUUGAGUACUGCAGGGGAGACUGGAAUUCCUGGUGUAGCGGUGAAAUGCGCAGAUAUCAGGAGGAACACCGGUGGCGAAGGCGGGUCUCUGGGCAGUAACUGACGCUGAGGAACGAAAGCGUGGGUAGCGAACAGGAUUAGAUACCCUGGUAGUCCACGCCGUAAACGGUGGGCGCUAGGUGUGGGUUCCUUCCACGGAAUCCGUGCCGUAGCUAACGCAUUAAGCGCCCCGCC
rnacentral:rRNA from 1 species